ensembl:snRNA U4 U4 spliceosomal RNA
AGCUUUGCGCAGUGGCAGUAUCGUAGCCAAUGAGGUUUAUCCGAGGCACGAUUAUUGCUAAUUGAAAUAAUUUAACACAGGUGACUAUGCCAGCCAAUAUUUCCAUGUUUUCCUGACAA